AAGUCGGUUGUGAAAGCCUUCCGCUCAACGGAGGAACGGCAUCCGAUACUGCAUGGCUUGAGUGUGGGAGGGGAGAGUGGAACUUCUGGUGGAGCGGUGAAAUGCGUAGAUAUCAGAAGGAACACCGGCGGCGAAGGCGACUCUCUGGUCCAUAACUGACGCUGAGUGUGCGAAAGCUAGGGGAGCAAACGGGAUUAGAUACCCCGGUAGUCCUAGCCGUAAACGAU
rnacentral:rRNA from 1 species